GGAGGUUGGCUUAGAAGCAGCCACCCUUUAAAGAGUGCGUAAUAGCUCACUGGUCGAGUCUUUCUGCGCCGAAAAUGUAACGGGGCUCAAGCUAGAUGCCGAAGCCGUGGAUCAAUGCAAAUUGGUGGUAGGGGAGCGUCGCGCGUUAGGUAGAAGGAUGACCGUGAGGGCGUCUGGACGAAGCGCGAGUGAGAAUGCCGGUAUGAGUAGCGAAAAAGAGCGUGAGAAUCGUUCUGGCCGAAAACCCAAGGUUUCUUAAGCAAGGCUCGUCCUCUUAAGUUUAGGCGGUCCUAAGGCGAGGCCGAGAGGCGUAGUCGAUGGACAGCAGGUUGAUAUUCCUGCCCCACGUUUUGGAGCGAUGCAGGGACGCGGUGAACAAGAUCAGCGGACUGCUGGAUGUUCGUGAGCGGGCGUAGGUGUGCCGUAGGUAAAUCCGCGGCAGGAAACCGAGACCCGGGACGCAAGAAGCCGCAAGGCGACUGAAGUGAUUGGAUGCACCGACAAGAAAAGCUGCUAAGCGAUGAAGAAACGUGACCGUACCGAUAACCGACACAGGUGGGUAGGCUGAGUAUGCUAAGGCCAGCGUGAUAACCCUCGCUAAGGAACUCGGCAAAUUAGCUCCGUAACUUCGGGAUAAGGAGCGCCCUCAGUAGGCUGACCACUUCGCGUGGAAGGUUGAAAGGGGUCGCAGUGAAAUGGCCCGGGCGACUGUUUAUCAAAAACAUAGGUCCCUGCUAAACCGUAAGGUGAUGUAUAGGGGCUGACGCCUGCCCAAUGCUAGUAGGUUAAGGGGAGGUGUGCAAGCACCGAUCCGAAGCCCUAGUGAAUGGCGGCCGUAACUAUAACGGUCCUAAGGUAGCGAAAUUCCUUGUCGGGUAAGUUCCGACCUGCACGAAUGGCGUAACGAUCUGGGCACUGUCUCGGCGAGGGACACGGCGAAAUUGUAGUCUGCGUGAAGAUGCGCAGUACUUGCAGCAGGACGGAAAGACCCCGUGGAACUUUACUAUACCCUGAUAUUGGUCUUCGGGGCCGCAUGUAGAGUAUAGGUGGGAGGCAUUGAAGCAGUGUCGUCAGGGGCUGUGGAGCCAACGUUGGAAUACCACCCUUGCGGUCGCUGAGGGUCUAACUCGGAUUAACAGAUCCGGGGACAUUGUCAGGCGGGUAGUUUGACUGGGGCGGUCGCCUCCUAAACCGUAACGGAGGCGCACAAAGGUUCCCUCAGCGCGGUCGGAAAUCGCGCAGAGAGUGCAAGAGCAGAAGGGAGCUUAACUGCGAGACCAACAAGUCGAGCAGAUGCGAAAGCAGGUUCUAGUGACCCGCCGGCUCAGAGUGGAAUGGCCGACGAUCAACGGAUAAAAGUUACCCCGGGGAUAACAGGCUUAUAGCGGCCACGCGCCCAUAGCUACGCCGCUGUUUGGCACCUCGAUGUCGGCUCGUCGCAUCCUGGGGCUGGAGUAGGUCCCAAGUACGAGAGGACCGGGUUGGACGGACCUCUGGUGUACCGGUUGUCGCGCCAGCGGCACACGCCGGGUAGCCAUGUCCGGAUCGGAUAACCGCUGAAAGCAUCUAAGUGGGAAGCCGACUCCAAGAUGAGGAUUCAGAGGCUCCAGGAAGACCACCUGGUGAUAGGCUGGAGGUGUAAGCACAGCAAUGUGUUCAGCUGACCAGUACUAAUAGCCCUAUGCUUUCUCCCC
rnacentral:rRNA from 1 species